UCUCUCUGAAUCUGCGAACGGCUCCGCAAACCAGUUGUAAACUAUAGCGAGCAUACCCCUGGCCCUCGGGCUGGGGGUAACAAGGAUAACCCUGGUAAUUCUGAGGCUAAUACUCGACCGUACAAUCUGGUCGACCGGUAACGGGAGGCUGGAGGACGUGUUUUUAAUCGCAGAUGCGCCGGGAAAGGAAACACGUUCAGACCGUCAUACAAACGGUAGCGGGUCGAACCGUCCCCUCGGGGGCGGGGAAGCUCGUGUCCGGGCGGCUCUCGCAAUGUGCUUCUGACCUAUCAACUAGAUGGCAGCGUAAGGGGCAUGCUAUGGUUACAACGGGUACAGAGGAUAAGGGUUCGAUCCUGGAGAGUGGGCCUGAGAGAUU
rnacentral:rRNA from 1 species